CAUAAGAAUUGGCGCGGGAAGAACAAGGAGAAAAGCAGAAAGAAAGCGUCGUGUUCAAGGGCGUCCGAUUAGGGUUGCCUUCUACGAAUGCCAAUUCCAGUUGCAAUUUUCCUUCUAACAAGAAUCUUCCUUCAAACCGUGAAUUUCAACCAAUUUCACUUCGUUCUCGUGUAUUGCUUUCUGAAAAUGGCGACGAUUCUAAGUUCGAUGCCGAUAGCACUUCUACAUCAACUAGAGGAAUAGAGAAGCUGGUGCCGAUGGCUCUGGAACCUCUGCUAGAAGUCGUCGAUUGCUUAAGCUUGGCGAAGAGAAGCGCAAACAGGAACAUGAUCGUCUCCACAAUUAUCUUGCCGUCUUUUCUGUAUGAUUGUGUGUUGCGUUGUUUUCAUUCUGUUUGUUUGUUUGCUAGUGAAAUCGCCGGGAAAACGGCCGACUGUUAGAAGAUGCCUGCAAAAACGAGGCGGAAUUUUGCGCUGUUCUUAGCGAUAGCAUCGGCAAUCGGAGGCAAUGAGGAACAAGGUUUCAAAUUUGUUUUGAAGCAAACGUUUAAGGCCCAAAAGGUUUCGGGUCCUGGGUUCUAUUAGUCCAGCAAGUUCUCUUUUAAAGCAGCUGUAUCUCAAGUUAUCCAGUCGUGGUAUGUCAUUGGUCGAUUGGAGGACUUUUAACUCUUCAAAUUUCUGGCGAAUUCAGCCGAGUGCAAUUCCUCUCUAUAAUGCAGAUAAAGGUUUUGAAGUGAUGCAGCCAUCAUUUCAUGAUAUUAGUGAUGUAGAGUUUCAGGAUAACUGGGGCCGGGUUUGGGUUGACCUAGAUAUUUAGCCAUCCAAUAAGUCAUCUUUGGAGGACGUCGAAUGAGCGAUUGGGAGGAAGGGAUGACAAGCCCCGAGAAUGGUACAAGUAUUUCAAAAUCUUUCUUCUUUAUAAUCUUGGUGUAUUUAAUGCCUCCUCUAUAUCCUAAAUCUUCAUCUUUAUUUAAACUUCCGCCAGAAUAGUAGGAAGUUUUUAGGCUUAGAUCAGGUAGUUUGAGAAUUUUGCAUUCAGAAAAUAAAAAAAAUGGCCCACACGCUCUUCUCCUUUAGGAAAGGUAAUACCAAUUAGACGUGAGAAUCUUGGAGGGAGGAUUGAACCAAAAAAAGUAGCCCAGCAAGUAAUGCCUUAGCUAAGUUAAGUUAUGAAAAUCUUCGUUCUUAUGCCCACCUCAAUUUGUUAGGGAAAAAAAAUGUCCCACAGCCAUAGUUAAAAUAUAUAUCAUCCAUAGGGAGGUUAAAGGUUUAAAUUCUCAUCCAUAUGUUUCAUUAAUUAAAAUGUCUUACCGGAAAAGAA